rnacentral:rRNA from 1 species
AACGAACGCUGGCGGCGUGCUUAACACAUGCAAGUCGAACGCGAACGGGUUCUUCGGGACCUUAGUAGAGUGGCGCACGGGUGAGUAACGCGUAAGUUAUCUACCUCGGCAUCUGGAAUAACUCACCGAAAGGUGUGCUAAUACCGGAUACGUUGAGUAAUCAAGAAAGGUGGCCUCUCUUUGAUGCUACCGUGCUGAGAUGAGCUUGCGUACCAUUAGCUAGUUGGUGGGGUAAUGGCCUACCAAGGCGACGAUGGUUAGCGGGUCUGAGAGGAUGAUCCGCCACACUGGAACUGGAACCCGGACCAGACUCCUACGGGAGGCAGCAGGGAGGAAUAUUGCGCAAUGGGGGCAACCCUGACGCAGCGACGCCGCGUGGAUGAUGAAGGCCUUCGGGUCGUAAAAUCCUGUCAGGUGGAAAGAAAUGUAUAUGUGCUAAUACCAUGUAUACUUGACGGUACCACCGAAGGAAGCACCGGCUAACUCCGUGCCAGCAGCCGCCGCGG